UAUAAUUUUUUGCACUGAAAACUCUUACGAUUUUACGAUUUUGAAGUUGAAUUACACUCGAUUUUAAGAUUUUACAUGUCGAAAACCCUCUUACGAUUUUACGAUUUUAACAACAUUGGCUGGAGGUGUGCUGGCCUCUUUGGUUCUGGUUGGCCCUGUUGCCUGGGGCUGGUGCGGCUGAUGGUCGUCCUUUCGUGCAAUCAGUUGUAUCAAAAUUAUGCUGAUUUUUGCACUUCUUCAGUCCUAGUUACUUCAUUACAGUGCUGAAGAGAGAAAUAAGGAAACGAAGGGACACAAAGAUAGCACUUUUUUGGGGGUGUUGGGGGAUUCAGCUAAACUUAAAAUGAAAGUGAUGUCCUCUUUGCAUUCACCUAUGUUUGUUGUCUUGUUUCUUGUCCCAUGGAAGCUGCAAUUUGUCAUAAAAACUUCUUCUACCUCAUCAGUUGUUCCAUCCUCUCCCAAGCUCCCGAUGCUGCAACAAAUCCUUACCUUUUUUAAUUUAGAAGCCAAUUUGGUGGCUUGAAUAAUUAAUUAACUAUGAGGAAGAAGAUAGAGAGCACAAACAUUAUACCAUGGCCCGGUCCACAUGCUUAUAAAUUUGUUAAUUUCAAAUGUAAAGCUUAUUGUGUUCUUUAUUGUUUGAUUUUCUUUAAGCUUCCACCUCAAUUGUGGGGGUCUGUUAGAGUUAUACAUAGUUUGCUUCUCAUUUA